CUCUUGGCAGCCUAGUUGCUG
rnacentral:siRNA from 1 species